AGAACUGGUAGUGCAUGUCUGUAAACCAUUUCUUCUACAGAGGCUGAAAUUGGAGUAUUGCUUGAUCUCAGGAGUUCUGAAUUGCAGUGAGCUAAGCCUAUUAAGCCUGGCCCCAAUAGGGUGAGACCUCAGGAAGUUGGUUUGGGGAGGAGAAUCACCAGGCUUCCUAAGAAGGGGUGUACUGGCCCAGGUCAGAAACAGAGCAGAUUAAAGCUCCUGUGUCAAUCAAUAGUGGGAUUGGGCCCAUGAAUGGCUGCUACAUUUCCAACCUGGGCAAGAUAGAAAGAUCUAGUCUCAA
rnacentral:SRP_RNA from 1 species